UGGGGAAUUUUGCACAAUGGGGGAAACCCUGAUGCAGCGACGCCGCGUGAUUUAGAAGGCCUUCGGGUUGUAAAAAUCUUUUUUAUGGGAUGAAAAUGACAGUACCAUAAGAAUAAGGUCCGGCUAAAUACGUGCCAGCAGCCGCGGUAAUACGAAGGGGGCUAGCGUUGUUCGGAUUUACUGGGCGUAAAGCGCACGUAGGCGGACUAUUAAGUCAGGGGUGAAAUCCCGGGGCUCAACCCCGGAACUGCCUUUGAUACUGGUAGUCUUGAGUUCGGGAGAGGUGGGUGGAAUUCCGAGUGUAGAGGUGAGAUUCGUAGAUAUUCGGAGGAACACCAGUGGCGAAGGCGGCUCACUGGCUCGAUACUGACGCUGAGGUGCGAAAGCGUGGGGAGCAAACAAG
rnacentral:rRNA from 1 species